rnacentral:rRNA from 1 species
GAUGAACGCUGGCGGCGUGCCUAAUACAUGCAAGUCGAGCGAACGGACGAGAAGCUUGCUUCUCUGAUGUUAGCGGCGGACAGGUGAGUAACACGUGGAUAACCUACCUAUAAGACUGGGAUAACUUCGGGAAACCGGAGCUAAUACCGGAUAAUAUUUUGAACCGCAUGGUUCAAAAGUGAAAGACGGUCUUGCUGUCACUUAUAGAUGGAUCCGCGCUGCAUUAGCUAGUUGGUAAGGUAACGGCUUACCAAGGCAACGAUGCAUAGCCGACCUGAGAGGGUGAUCGGCCACACUGGAACUGAGACACGGUCCAGACUCCUACGGGAGGCAGCAGUAGGGAAUCUUCCGCAAUGGGCGAAAGCCUGACGGAGCAACGCCGCGUGAGUGAUGAAGGUCUUCGGAUCGUAAAACUCUGUUAUUAGGGAAGAACAUAUGUGUAAGUAACUGUGCACAUCUUGACGGUACCUAAUCAGAAAGCCACGGCUAACUACGUGCCAGCAGCCGCGGUAAUACGUAGGUGGCAAGCGUUAUCCGGAAUUAUUGGGCGUAAAGCGCGCGUAGGCGGUUUUUUAAGUCUGAUGUGAAAGCCCACGGCUCAACCGUGGAGGGUCAUUGGAAACUGGAAAACUUGAGUGCAGAAGAGGAAAGUGGAAUUCCAUGUGUAGCGGUGAAAUGCGCAGAGAUAUGGAGGAACACCAGUGGCGAAGGCGACUUUCUGGUCUGUAACUGACGCUGAUGUGCGAAAGCGUGGGGAUCAAACAGGAUUAGAUACCCUGGUAGUCCACGCCGUAAACGAUGAGUGCUAAGUGUUAGGGGGUUUCCGCCCCUUAGUGCUGCAGCUAACGCAUUAAGCACUCCGCCUGGGGAGUACGACCGCAAGGUUGAAACUCAAAGGAAUUGACGGGGACCCGCACAAGCGGUGGAGCAUGUGGUUUAAUUCGAAGCAACGCGAAGAACCUUACCAAAUCUUGACAUCCCUUGACAACUCUAGAGAUAGAGCCUUCCCCUUCGGGGGACAAAGUGACAGGUGGUGCAUGGUUGUCGUCAGCUCGUGUCGUGAGAUGUUGGGUUAAGUCCCGCAACGAGCGCAACCCUUAAGCUUAGUUGCCAUCAUUAAGUUGGGCACUCUAAGUUGACUGCCGGUGACAAACCGGAGGAAGGUGGGGAUGACGUCAAAUCAUCAUGCCCCUUAUGAUUUGGGCUACACACGUGCUACAAUGGACAAUACAAAGGGCAGCGAAACCGCGAGGUCAAGCAAAUCCCAUAAAGUUGUUCUCAGUUCGGAUUGUAGUCUGCAACUCGACUACAUGAAGCUGGAAUCGCUAGUAAUCGUAGAUCAGCAUGCUACGGUGAAUACGUUCCCGGGUCU